UCAUCAGGUGUUGAUGCCAACCCAGAUCACCAAAAUGAGGAAGAAUCACCAAAACCAGAGCUUUCCAGGGUCCCAACAAUCAUUUCAAGGUGUAUGAGUGAUCAGUUGUUGCUGCCCAAAGCAAGCGUCGGCUCUGGUCUAUCUCUCUCUCCGGACUCAGUCCUCCUCACGCCGAAACUCCAUACCGUCCUUUCAGGCAAAGAAAUCGCAGAAGAAGAGGGAGAAAAUUCGAUAUCGAUACAGA
rnacentral:misc_RNA from 1 species